CGAGUUUGUAGAAGCAAAACUCUUGGAAUUUGGUUACGAGGCUAAUCAACUUAUUUCCUUCAAUUGCACAACUUCUUGGUGUAGACUCUGAACUUCUUCUAUAGUAGUAGGAAUAGUGCUUCCAUGAUUGGUAUUGGUGAUGUGUGAAAUUUUGGUCUUAAGAGUAUUGACAAGCUCAUGAAGAUCUGCAAUAGUUGCAAAUCUAUUUUCACUUCCACCAAGUGUAGCAUCCAUGAUUUUUCCUUUUAUAGACAAUUCAAACAAAUUCAAAAGUUAAAUAAGAGGAGGGUAAUUUGUAACCUCUAAAAAUAAAUUCCACAAAGAGGGAUAAUCCACUCUCUUUAAGAAAAAGAUCAAUGUUAGAAAAUAAAAUUUUUAUUUAAAGGUGGAUAGUCCGCAACCUUCAAAAUACAAUAAUAGAAGUGGGAUUAUCCACUCACUUCUAGAACAAAAUAGAAAUAAUAUGUUAGCAC
rnacentral:lncRNA from 1 species